UACAGAGGUCUCAAGCGUUGUUCGGAAUCACUGGGCGUAAAGGGUGCGUAGGUGGCUGAGUAAGUCAGAUGUGAAAGCCCCGAGCUCAACUUGGGAACUGCAUUUGAAACUGCACGGCUAGAGUACUUAAGAGGAAUGCAGAAUUCUCAGUGUAGCAGUGAAAUGCGUAGAUAUUGAGAGGAAUACCAAUGGCGUAGGCAGCAUUCUGGGAAGUUACUGACACUGAGGCACGAAGGCUAGGGGAGCGAACGGG
rnacentral:rRNA from 1 species